AACGAACGCUGGCGGCAUGCCUAACACAUGCAAGUCGAACGAGACCUUCGGGUCUAGUGGCGCACGGGUGCGUAACGCGUGGGAAUCUGCCCUUAGGUACGGAAUAACUCAGGGAAACUUGUGCUAAUACCGUAUGAUGACGAAAGUCCAAAGAUUUAUCGCCUAAGGAUGAGCCCGCGUAGGAUUAGCUUGUUGGUGAGGUAAAAGCUCACCAAGGCGACGAUCCUUAGCUGGUCUGAGAGGAUGAUCAGCCACACUGGGACUGAGACACGGCCCAAACUCCUACGGGAGGCAGCAGUGGGGAAUAUUGGACAAUGGGCGCAAGCCUGAUCCAGCCAUGCCGCGUGAGUGAUGAAGGCCCUAGGGUUGUAAAGCUCUUUUGUGCGGGAAGAUAAUGACGGUACCGCAAGAAUAAGCCCCGGCUAACUUCGUG
rnacentral:rRNA from 1 species